GUGUUACAGCAGACCCCAGGAAGACUCACAAAAAAUCACAUGAAGUUGCCCAUCAUGACUUUGUACUGGGGAACUGAGAAUAAAAGGGAGCGAAUUUCACCCUCCAGGACCCAGAGGACAAAGAAACUUAAGGAACCCCUGAGUACUGUUGAUGGUAUGAAGUGCAGGAGGACCUGGGAGCUCUGCUUGUCGUCCCACGGAGGCUUUUUAGCGUGCCAAUCACCACGGAAUGAGGACAAAUUCCAGUACAGGCUGAUGAGUAGUCACUUUUCCUGCUGCUGCUGAAGCCACUGGAAAAAUCUGAUUGAUCCAGGAUGUCACGUCAGAGCCUAAUUCCCCUUUCUGCAAACACCCAUAUGCUCGUGUUCAGUGCUUAAUAAAAGGGCCUGGCAGCCCAGCAAGAUAAUAAAAGAUAAAGCAAACUGUACGACAAUGGAAAAUGCUGAGCUCCCUGAGUAAUUACAGUUGUGUAAGACGGU